rnacentral:misc_RNA from 1 species
AUACCAGCGCGUGGAGAAAGGCGCUUGCAAUGGCUACUGGUAAGGAAGACAAUGGAUGUAAGUAUUUAUUUGUUUAAUUGUUUUCGUGGUAUACGUAUAUUUUAGUUCAUGUGAUGAUCAAUUUCUUAGUGUACCUGUUGGAUCGAUAUUGUCGCUGAAAUGUAUGUCAAGGAUGCAGCUAAGAAUCGAAGACACGUAAACAUGUGUAUAAUUAUUGAAUAGAAGAUACUUUUGUAUUUGAAAUGCACUCAAUAUGAGUAACCAUACAACGAAUGUGCAAUAGUCUAUCAAUAGAUUAUAUUCCCCAAAAAUGUGUAAAUUAAUAUUAUUUAUAUAUUUUUUUUAUUUAUCCAUUGAUUGUAUCAAAAUAGAUUACUGUCAACGAAGAUUAGUCCCACCAUUAAACUCUUCGUUCCUUAUCUAAAAAGGAUCGAUUUGUCUAUCAGAAAUUACAAUCCUUGGAAAGAACGAUUUCUUUAUCAUUGAAUGCGUUUAUUAUAUUCGUGGCAGGUUCUCCUGAUCAAACUCAUCCUGGUCAAGGUCGUCCCAUAUCGAACCCUAUAGGUAAAUAAAUCAUUUAAUACUUGGGUCUACUUGGACAUGCUAUAUGUCUCAUUAAUAUGCAUAUAUAUUCAAACUUCAAGAUCAGAAUCGAUUAAACAAUGUAGUACAUGUAUUACAUAGAACAAUCUAUCUUUGAUUAUCAACUCAAAUAUUUAAGAGAAAAUUAAAAUGACCAUUAUUUUUUUUUCUUUUGAUUAAUUACAGAUUGCACGAGCUCAACUCAACCAAGUACAACAAUUAAAGAGAAUGAAAUAUUGUCUACUGUAUCAGGUAUUUCCUCAAUAAACGUCAAUGCUAAAUAUAAGAGAGAGAAAUAAAGAAAAAGAAAGAGAUAGAAAAAGAAAGAAAAAAGAAAUAAAGGAAGAAGAA